CUGCAACCUACUAUACGGACCUUGGUAUUGAAGAUUCAGACAUAUUUGUCUCUGAUGGUGCCAAAUGUAACAUAUCUCGCUUGCAGGUACUUUUUGGAUCUAAUGUGACAAUUGCGGUCCAAGAUCCAUCAUACCCUGCAUAUGUUGAUUCAAGUGUUAUCACGGGCCAAACUGGCUUAUAUCAGCAAGAUGUUCAGGAGAUAGUGUGGUCGUUCUGUGUACGACCUUGCAGGCAGGGUGCCGACAACCCAAAAUUGACACCCUGGGUUGUUGCCUGGAGGCACAACCAAACUGGCCAACAUGUUUUAUAAAAUCAUAGUUGUCUCUCUUUUGUUUCUAUUUGGGCAUGUCUUUUCUUUUUUAAACAUAAGGCAAGAGCUUUGCAAUUAAUGAACACACCCACCCCUCUGCACACCGGGAAUAAACAUCAAACACAAACCACUAUGCACCAAAACUUUAUAGCAGUAUCCCAUGUAGACUUGUCACUUGUCCUUGAUCUCUAUCAAAAAGUCUAUCAUGGAUGGCACUUUUGCACUAAGUUUUGUGAGUGCGUGAGUUUAUUGUAGUGUUUUUGUGUGUAUAGGCAGGCUCUGCUUUCAUAGGGGCUCCUUACCCCCCUCUCAUUUUCUCAUAUUCUUACUAUAAAAAUAUGCAACUCUUCUUCGUUUCAGAAUAGUUAUCCAUGUAUUUGAUGUUAUAUGAUACAAUAUUCUGUGGGUUUCUUGUAAUCUUGUGUUGCUAUCCGUUAUGCAAUAGUAGAACAUGAAUUACUUAUUUUUGUUUAGUGUAUGUAUUAAAAUGAUUGUUUUAUACUAUAGAGGUUUUGUAGACUCCAGCUAUAGAGCUAUGUUAGAGUAUCAAUAUUUUUGUAAAAUCCGAUAACCCAUUUUGUAGACUCCGAUAACCUGGUAUACUUUGUAAAUUUUAGUAAAUUCAUGUCUAUUUACUAUGAAUGGGGAAGUAAACAAGGUUUUCUUUCAUUUUAAAUGCAGGGUUAUACAAUCAUAUCUUGCAGAACUGACAAUAUUUUUUUGCCCUCAUACCAAGAAUCAGUUCCUUAUAUUGCUUGACAACCGGCCAUGGUUGCUAGAUCAGGAUACAAAACCUUGCUCAUCUAUGGUAAUUGAUGGUUACUAAGGUCUGUUGUUCUUGUUGUUUUAUGUAAACCUAUGGUAGUAUCUCUUUCUUGCUUAAGUUUUACUACGCUCCCAACAAACUGAUUCUUGCUGUUUUUUUGCUCCAG